rnacentral:rRNA from 1 species
UGAAUACGAGACGCUACGGCGUCGAAGCAGUCUAUGUCAUACUUCCAAGAAAAGCUUGCACUGUCAUAAACAAAUAAUGCCUGUACCAUAACCGACACAGGUGGGUAGGUAGAGUAUACUAAGGGGCGCGAGAUAACUCUCUCUAAGGAACUCGGCAAAAUGACUCCGUAACUUCGGGAGAAGGAGUGCCUUAUUUAUAAGGUUGCAAUAACAAGAUCCAAGCAACUGUUUAUCAAAAACACAGGUCUCCGCUAAGUCGUAAGACGAUGUAUGGGGGCUGACGCCUGCCCAGUGCCAGAAGGUUAAAGAAGUUGGUUAGCAUUAGCGAAGCUGAUAACUGAAGCCCUGGUGAACGGCGGCCGUAACUAUAACGGUCCUAAGGUAGCGAAAUUCCUUGUCGGGUAAGUUCCGACCCGCACGAAAGGCGUAAUGAUUUGGAUACUGUCUCGGAGAGGGGCUCGGUGAAAUAGACUUGUCUGUGAAGAUGCGGACUACCUGCACCUGGACAGAAAGACCCUAUGAAGCUUUACUGUAACCUGAAAUUGAAAUUGGACUUUAUUUGCGCAGUAUAGGUGGGAGGCGUUGAGAAUAUUCUUGCGGGAAUAUUGGAGCCAUCAGUGAGAUACCACUCUUGUAAUGUUAGAUUUCUAACUUUGAAUCAUUAUCUGGUCAAAGAACAGUUUCAGGCGGGCAGUUUGACUGGGGCGGUCGCCUCCUAAAUGGUAACGGAGGCGCACAAAGGUUUCCUCUGAACGGGUAGAAAUCGUAUCUAGAGUGUAAAGGCAUAAGGAAGCUUGACUGUGAGACCUACAAGUCGAGCAGGGACGAAAGUCGGUCUUAGUGAUCUGACGGUGCUGAGUGGAAAGGCCGUCACUCAACGGAUAAAAGUUACUCUAAGGAUAACAGGCUGAUCUCCCCCAAGAGUUCACAUCGACGGGGAGGUUUGGCACCUCGAUGUCGGCUCAUCGCAUCCUGGGGCGGUAGUACGUCCCAAGGGUUGGGCUGUUCGCCCAUGAAAGCGGUACGCGAGCUGGGUUCAGAACGUCGUGAGACAGUUCGGUCCAUAUCCGGUGUAGGCGUUAGAAUAUUGAGAGGAGCCUUCUUUAGUACGAGAGGACCGAGAAGGACAUACCUCUGGUGUACCAGUUAUCGUGCCAACGGUAAACGCUGGGUAGCUAUGUAUGGAGGGAUAACCGCUGAAAGCAUCUAAGUGGGAAGCCCACCUCAAGAUAAG